GUAGGUGGCAAGCGUUGUCCGGAAUUAUUGGGCGUAAAGCGCGCGCAGGCGGUUCUUUAAGUCUGAUGUGAAAGCCCACGGGCUCAACCGUGGAGGGUCAUUGGAAACUGGAGAACUUGAGUACAGAAGAGGAAAGCGGAAUUCCACGUGUAGCGGUGAAAUGCGUAGAGAUGUGGAGGAACACCAGUGGCGAAGGCGGCUUUCUGGUCUGUAACUGACGCUGAGGCGCGAAAGCGUGGGGAGCAAACAGGAUUAGAUACCCUGGUAGUCCACGCCGUAAACGAUGAGUGCUAAGUGUUAGGGGGUUUCCGCCCCUUAGUGCUACAGCUAACGCAUUAAGCACUCCGCCUGGGGAGUACGGCCGCAAAGGCUG
rnacentral:rRNA from 1 species